GCAGACCUGCCGGUGCAGGCCAGGCACCAGGAAGUGUGAAAAUGCCGUGUUAAUGGCCACUGACUGUGGACACUCCUACAAGCUGUUCUUUGGAAGUCUGAUCUGGUUUGGCUGAAGGGCUGUGCCAGUAAGAACCACUUCCACCCAGCUGCUCUGCAGAAUUGGGGCAUCAGGAAGUUUGACAACGUGCUUUUCAUGAUCAUCAACAGAAAGUUUGUUGACUCAUGACCUAGAUGACUGCAAGAGCCUACAAUGAAGUCCCUCUGCAAACAGAAGCAAAAGGCACAGUCUGCUCCUCCUAAAGCAAGUCCACAUCUCUACUCCAGAAAAGAGCAAACUAUUUACAACUAUUUAAAUACAGCCUUUUCAUCUUAAAAAUUACAUUAAGUUUCUGGAAUUCUGAUAUACCCAAUUCCAAGGUAUAGUCAAGAGAAGAGAAGAGAUGGAAAGCCAUUUGGAAAAAGUGAUGGGGAAUUCAGGCAUCGGGUCAACACCAAGCGAAAGAAACAAUCAACAGAGUAAAAAGGCAACAUACAGAAUGGGAGAAAAUAUUUGCAAACCAAAGAUCUGACAAG
rnacentral:lncRNA from 1 species